AUCCCAUGGUGAGGACUGUGUGAUAUGUAAUCUUGGAAGCAUUCCCAUGCCUCCGGGAUGGAUUCAUCAUGUUGUUGCUGAAAACUCAAAAUCUUCGCACGUGAGGCA
rnacentral:snoRNA from 1 species